GAUGAACGCUGGCGGCGUGCCUAAUACAUGCAAGUCGAACGCUGAAGGAGGAUCUUGCUCUUCUGGAUGAGUUGCGAACGGGUGAGUAACGCGUAGGUAACCUGCCUGGUAGCGGGGGAUAACUAUUGGAAACGAUAGCUAAUACCGCAUGACAACAGUUAUUGCAUGAUAACUGUUUAAAAGGGGCAACUGCUCCACUACCAGCUGUACCUGCGUUGUAUUAGCUAGUUGGUGAGGUAACGGCUCACCAAGGCGACGAUACAUAGCCGACCUGGGAGGGUGAUCGGCCAAACUGGGAACGGGACAAGGCCCAGAACUCUAAGGGAGGGAACAGGAGGGAAACUUCGGAAAUGGACGGAAGGCUGAACGAGGAAAGCCGGGGGAGUGAAGAAGGGUUUCGGAUCGGAAAGAUCGGUUGUAAGAGAAGAAAGGGGGGGAGAGUGGAAAGUUCACACUGUGACGGUAUCUUACCAGAAAGGGACGGCUAACUACGUG
rnacentral:rRNA from 1 species